GUUAGAUACCCCACUAUGCUUAGCCCUAAACUUAGAUAGUUACCCUAAACAAAACUAUCCGCCAGAGAACUACUAGCAAUAGCUUAAAACUCAAAGGACUUGGCGGUGCUUUACAUCCCUCUAGAGGAGCCUGUUCUAGUA
rnacentral:rRNA from 1 species